rnacentral:lncRNA from 10 species
CACCUGCCUCAAUCCUGCAAAGUGCUGGGAUUGAUGGGAAACGACUGUCUUCAUAGAUUGUCAAAAAUCAAUUUGUUUUUUCACAUUGGAAAUUCACAACAAUUGUACCAGCAGAAAGAUUAAUUUUUAACAUCAUGUGAGCCCUGUCUUCUCUACCUAAUUUGUAAAGACUAAAGUGCCUUGGAGUUCAAUCCUGACCCUCUUCUCACAUAUCACUUCUUUCAUAAGAAAUCUCAUUUAUUGGCUGGGCAUGGUGGCUCAUUCCUGUAAUCCCAGCACUUUGGGAGACCAAGGUGGGAAGAUCACUUGAAGUCAGGAAUUCAAGACCAGCCUGGCCAACAUAAUAAAAUCCCGUCUCUACUAAAAAUGCAAAAAUUAGCCAGGCGUGGAGGUGGGCACCUGUAACCCCAGCUACCCAGAGGACAAGGCAGGAGAAUCCCAUGAACCUGGGAGGCGGAGCUUGCAGUGAGCCAAACUGGGAGACAGAGCGAGACUCCAUCUCAAAAAAAAAUGUAAAAAAAAAUAAAUAAAUAAAUCUCAUUUAUUGGCAUAAUUUAAAUUCCAUCUAUGGAAUAAUAAUCCCAACAUUAAUAUACUCAGAAUUAUCUUUGCUUUUGUGUUCCAACCCACAAAGUCAGCAGUGUGCUUGAUUUCACAAUUGGUCAUAUCAUUUAUACCUCAGGUACCAUGCCCACAUGUUAAAAAAUGCUUCUCUCAGUGUCCCAUACCUCAAACAGAUACUACUUGUAUUUACUAGCCACUAAGACUUUUUCUUGACACUUCUCUCCUUCGUUCUCUAUGUUUGAACCAACAGCAACUUCCUUUAAGUGUCUAUAUUCGUUUCCUAUUGCCAUGUUAACAAAUUACUAAAACUUAAUGGCUUAAAACAACACAAAUUUAUUCUCUUACAGUUCUGGAUGCCAAAAGUCUAAAAUCAAGGUGAUGAUAGGGUUACAUUCCUUCUGAAGACUUUAAGAUAGAACUUGUUUUCUUGCCCUUUUCAGCUACUAGAGUCUGCCUACAUUCUUUGGUUUGUGAUCCCUUUCUGCUUCUUCAAGACAUGCAGUGUAGCCUUCUCUCUCUCUCUCUCUCUGUCUCUCUCUCCCCUACCCCCCACCCCGCUCCCUCUCUCGCCUGCUUCCUUCAUCACAUUUCUUCCUCUGUCUCUUCCUGCUUCCUUCUUUAUAAGGACCCUGAUGAUUAUAUGGGGCCCAACUGGAUAAUACAAGAUACUCUCCCUCUUUCAAGAUCCUAUGUUUAAUCACAUCUACAGAGUUUCUUUCACUAACCUAUCAUAUUCACGGGUCCUGAGAAAGAGGAUGCGAACAUAUUUGGAGGGAGAACUAUAAUUCAGCUUUCAUAGUGUUCCUCUAAAACAUUUUCUCAAUCUCUUAUUUUCUUUCCUUCUUACUUUCAGUUUUGAAGUCCAAGAUACUAUUAUCCUUUCCUGGAAUGACUAAUUUCCUGACUGACUUUGAUGACCCUUCUGCAGUUAUCUUCCAGCACAUUUGCCACUUAGUGACCACACUUCUCUUUAAAGUAAAAGUAUAAUUAUGUCACUUCUCUGCUUAAAACACUUUAAUAAUUUUCCCUUGCAUAUAGGAUAAAAUUCAGAAUUCUUACUGCGGAUAAUGUGCCUCCUACAUGCAGUUACAUGCUUCAUCUAAUGCUCCUGUUCGCUUAAUCACUACACAACAGCUACCUGCUCUUCUAUCUAGCCAAACUCAUUAUAUGUCUCUGCAAAUGUUUUUAUUCUGUGAUGAUUUCCUCCAACUCUUUAUAAUAUAAUAUAGUAGCACGAGGUCUAUAUUAUAAAAUAAUAUAAAAUUACAAGGUCUGUAUUAUCCAUGGAAUUUAUACGUAAAACUAUCAAAAUAUAAAGUACUGUAAAAAGACUUCCAAAUGCUAUCAAUGUUUCUUCUUCCUUUAAGCUCAUGAAUUUCAAUGCAAACGUAAAUCUUCUAUAUGAGUAUUGUGUCUUACACCUUUUUUUUAAAUUAUACUUUAAGUUCUAGGGUACAUGUGCACAAUGUGCAGGUUUGUUACAUAGGUACACAUGUGCCAUGUUGAUGUGCUGCACCCAUUAACUUGUCAUUUACAUUAGGUAUAUCUCCUAAUGCUUUCCCUGCCCGCUACUCCCCCUCCACAACAGGCCCCAGUGUGUGAUGUUCCCCUUCCUGUGUCCAAGUGUUCUCAUUGUUCAGUUCCCACCUAUGAGUGAGAACAUGUGGUGUUUGGUUUUUUGUUCUUGUGAUAGUUUGCUGAGAAUGAUGGUUUCCAGCUUCAUCCAUGUCCCUACAAAGGACAUGAACUCAUCCUU